GGAUCAUUGUCGAAAUCGAACGGAAGAACGACCCGCGAAUCGUCAUUGCGUAGUAGAUAGAGCCCGUGAGCACCUAACGCUCACGGGUCUCGCGUCGCGUCGGCGCGGGUGUACUCGAGACCCGCGUCGUACCGGCGGACAAACAACGUCAGCACGGAUCGUGCCAAGGAACUUCAUGGAGAGAAUCGUCGUCCCACGCCUUUGAUAGUCCUCGACGCGGGACGGGGGAUGUACGCAAUCUCUACUCAAGUCUAAACGACUCUCGGCAACGGAUAUCUCGGCUCUUGCAUCGAUGAAGAACGUAGCGAAAUGCGAUACUUGGUGUGAAUUGCAGAAUCCCGUGAACCAUCAAUUCUUUGAACGCAAGUUGCGCCCGAAGCCAUUCGGCCGAGGGCACGCCUGCCUGGGCGUCGUGAAUCCCCUUGCCCCUAGGCACCCCGCAUGAGCAUUGGCGGGGAUAUAUGCUCGGGCGCAGAAUAUGGUCUCCCGUGGGAUCGGCAUGCCCGGCAUGCCGAGGUGCGGUUGGCCGAAAAUCGAGCAUGGCGGUGACGGGCACCACGGCGUUCGGUGGAUCGAACGAGAUUGGCUGCGUCGUGGGCUCGGCAUGCGGCGGGCUCCGGACUUUGAAUAUCCCCGAGUGCGAUCCCAGGUCAGGCGGGGCUACCCGCUGAGUUUAAGCAUAUCAAUAAGCGGAGGAAAAGAAACUAACGAGGAUUCCCUUAGUAGCGGC
rnacentral:rRNA from 1 species